rnacentral:rRNA from 1 species
CGGGAUGAGUAUAGUGGCGAACGGGUGAGUAACACGUGAGAAUCUACCUCCGAGUGAAGGAUACCUCUGGGAAACUAGAGUUAAUCCUGCAUAAUUUCGAAAGAACAAAGGUGGCAUUCAUGCUAUCGCUUGGAGAUGAGCUUGCGGCCUAUUAGCUUGUUGGUGGGGUAAAGGCCUACCAAGGCAAUGAUGGGUAUCCGGCCUGAGAGGGUGAUCGGACACACUGGGACUGAGAUACGGCCCAGACUCC